rnacentral:lncRNA from 1 species
AGAGGCACACCAGUACUGUGGCUUCCCAGGCACGGCUAAACCACCUGAGACCUUCAAGCCAAAGAUUCCAUUGACCUGGACUCUCCAGGGACAGCUUCAAGCAUUGGCCAUCCUCAAGUCUUCCUAGGUUGGCCCGUCAGGGAGGGGAGUAGACUUCUGAAAGAAUAUGGUUGACCUUGUUAUACAAGAGAUCAGAGAGAGAAGAAAUACAAGAGAGAAUGAGAAGGAAAAGGAGGAGGGAAAGAAAAAGGAAAAGUGGAAUAAACCAAGAGAGAUGUGUCAAGAUGAUAAAAUUGAGGAAUCAGGAGGAUUUUGAACACAGGAUGUCACACUACAGUCUAAACCUUCCUUGUUCACUAAGCUAAACCCUCAUAUUUGGAGACUACUGAAUGAGAAGAAUAAUGCAAUGUGUUGAAUGCCUACAACACCUCAAGGACCUUUUUUUCAUCUUUUACUUUUUAAAAUUUUAUUGUAGUAAGAACACUUAACAUGAGAUCUACCUUUCUAAAAAAUUGUUAAUUGUAGACUACAUUAUUGUUGACUAUAGGUAUAAUGCUGUAUAGCAGGUCUCUAGAGCUUAUUAAUCUUGCUUGAUUGGAACUUUAUGCACACUGAUUAGUAACUCCUCAUUUCUCUCUCCCCCUAGACCCUGGUAACCA